CGUCACACAUGCACACAAUCAUUUUUCUUGUUCUUCCCUUCCUUGUUCAGUUGUUCUUGUCGCCGUUAUGAGAGAGAGAGACAGAGAGCGAGAGAGAGAGAACGGCAAAAGCAGCAGCAGCAGCAGAAGAAGAAAAGCUAUGGGCUGGUGAACGUCACGGCCAAGGUUCGAUCCCUCCCUCUCUCCGAUCUGUUGUUGUUGUUCUUCUUCUUCUUGUUUGCUGUCAUUGUUCAUUUCUUAAAAUCCAGGCGAACAGUGUGUGUAUGUGGGUGUGGGACUGUUUGUGAUGAAGAGGGCAGAUGAAGAGGGGGUAGAGGGAGGGUAGAAAGGUCAAAAAACCAGGUCUAUUAGGCCGGAUGAGCUAUGCACAGCUCGAGAGGUAGCAAUAAUCUAUAGCCCCAAAUCUGGCUUCGCCGGGAUAAAGCAACAAGGGGGAUAAGCUUAUACACCCGAAGAAAUGGCAUCCAAACGGGGCCAAAUCUGUCAUGUCAACCCCUCAUCCGGGUGUAUAACACAAUGCACCCUUCUAAUAUGGCAUCCAAUCGGGCCCAACGAAUUCAUUUGGGAGAAAUUUGAUUAAUCUUAUAUGAGUUUUGUCAUCAUUUAUAGUAUCCUAAGGUCGUACACCAGUUACAGGAAAUUCGUGCUACUCCUCAAAUAUUAAAUUGCUACAGUGCUACUAAUACAGUCACAAAUAGAACACAUCAAUUAUCUCUCAUGGCUGAAGGUAAUUUUACAUAUUAUGUGUGUAUGUUUCUUAAUCUAUAUAGAUUGGGCCAACCAAAAUUUUUUCAGUUAGUCAAUUCAUAUAGUUUCUAAGAUCAAAAGUCCAACCAUUAGUAAAGAAGGCCAUGGCACUUGAAAAAUUUUCACAUACUCAAUUCAUUGCCCAUUGCUUGAUAUACUAUAAUGCUAGGACUAUAAAAGUCAUACUGAUUUCCAUGGUUAUAUGCAAUAGUAACUGAACUGGAAAAUAGAAAACUUAGCUUGAAAUCGAAGAAAAUGUUGCCAAGUUUUGAAGAUCGACCUUCCUCGGCACUCAAAGAGAAAGUUUUGAAAUCUCGUGGCCACUAAGGGCAGUAAACGAGCCGAAUUGUUUUGGCCACUAAGGGCUGAAUUUGGAGGCCGCAAGGGGCUCAUUAGAGAGGCCACAAAGGGCAAUUUUAGAGACUGCAAAACACCGUCGAUUAUAUGGUCACAUGGGGGCGUAAUGAACGGGUUCUUAAGGCCAUAAUAUACCGUCCAUCAUAUGGCCACAUGGAGGCUUAACGAACAUGUAUUUUGAGGGUUAAACAAGCGGUACUGGGGUUGGAUUCUUUUGUUUAGACCGCAAAAUUAUGUUCAUCAUAUGGCCACAUGGGGGCGUAAUGAAUAGAUAUUUUGUGGGUUAAACAAGCGGCGCCAUCUCCGCAUCGGCUUCACAACUGAAAUUUUACUUUGCAGGUAAAACCCUGAAUUUGGAAAAUGUUUUGAGUUUUCUAAAUCAAGUUUGUUGCGGCUUUUUGUCACGACACAAUCCUUGUUAGAACAAAACUCGGUGGAAUUCACGGGAGAGCAGAUUGGAACAAGAGGUACCAAGAACCACUUGUAGAUAAAAAAGAGAGAGUAAGAACUAAGAACCACUUUAAAUGGGAUAAUGAACCACUUUACAAUUUCACCCUGUGAUUGGAACAGUGGAGUUCAUAGGCAAAUUGUCAUUUUCCCUCUCAGAGAAACGAAAUUGAGAUUUUAUGCAAAAUAGAGGGGACUGUUAGGAAAUUCAAAAAGCGGCCCCUUAGUUAAAUGUCUUUGUAUCAUGUUUUUCAAUGGCUCUAUCUUGAUUUUUAUAAUCUCCUUAUUUACUUUUUCACCUGAUUAAAAAAAUAGUCUAAAACUAUUUAAUUAGUUAAUUUUGUAAUUGUUGAUUAAGGAGUGGAGCACUAUUGUUAUUAAGUGAGUGCAUAUCCAACUGGGGGAUGAUGUUGUAAGCCAACUUAGAGCUUCGGUAGUGUUAGCAUAUAUUGACCUGAUCUUGUGUCCAUUUUAUCGGUAUACAUGAUCUGAACCUUUUUUGACGAGCUUGCUAAUAUCUUAAUUUACUUAUGUUUAGAAGAGGUUCCUUCAUACUUCAUGAUGCUUUGUAGGGGUGCGGGAAAUAGCUCUAAAUUUUAAGGUUGUCCAGUUAUGUAGCUAUUAGCCGUUAAAUUGUUUGAAAUUAAACUAAUGUUGAGUAAUCGUGCAGUUGCCAAUAUUCAAUCAGCAUGUAUGUUUAACAAGUGGUCUAAUUAGUAAGCCCUGGGGUAUAAUUAACACAGUUCACAUCAACGGAAUGACAGAGAGGGCAUGUUUACGAUAGCUAUGGAUACAGAUUUUAGAUUUUAGCUACAAAUUCUGCUGCAAAUUUUAGAUUCUGAAUUUUAAUAGAAGUUGAGAAACCUGUUUGUUGCAGCUAUGAGAUUAUGAGGAUUUCACUUCUUUUUUGAGAUUUUAGCUUUACAUUUUGCUACGGAUUUUUAGAUUCUGGAUUUUUGUAGAAGUUGAGAAACAUGUUUGUUGUAGCUGUGAGAUUAUAAGAAUUUCUUUCCUUUUUUAAAAAUUUGUGCCGUAGAAUCCCAAAAGCUACCCAAACCCAGCUUUGAAAUUUUGAGAAAUGUUUUAAAUGUGUAAGAAGUAGCUAGAAAUGUUUAGAAUUGAAUUUAUUGCCCAAAUCAUUUUAGAUUGAGCUUAGAACAAGCCAAGUUGGAGUUUGGAACAUUAUUUUCAUUUUGCACUUCGUUGUAAAUGGAUAACGAAGUCAGAGAAACUAUAUAUAUGGAAGAACUAUAAGGAGAUUAUACAAUCUGGUUUCCUCUUAUUUUCUUGGUUUUUUGGGGUAUGUUUUGUUUUCUCUUCUGUUAUUUUUGACAAAGCAACUUUGCACAAUGAAGUAUCAAAUUGUGGUUAUGCUUGUACUUUUUUUUGGUGGAAGGGCUUCCAAUCAUGAUGCAUUAUUAAGUCAGUAAUACACAAAUAGGACCACUAAAGAAAAGCAUUUACUUCACAGGUUGAUGAGAUUGUUUUGAAUUCGAUUUUUUCCGUCAUAGAGCUUGGCCAAAUCAAGUUUAAGUUUUGGAGGCCAAGGCCUUCGUAUUAACUAUAUUGUAUGCACUGAAAAAAAAAUAUGAUCAAACCAUUUAGUUAUCUACACUAUGGCCUGGUUGUUUGAUCAGAGAUAAACGGAAGGAAUACAUAAUUCAUAGUAUAUGUACAGGAUAUAGAAUCCCUUAGGCUGUAGGAAUCGUAGAGAAAAAACUAAUUUGGUAUUUGUUUUGGUUAGGAUUGUGUAAGGCAUUUGCAAUUUUUGUCUUCAUUCGAAUUACAAGUUUCAUAUAGACCAAAUGGCAAAAUGAUCACUUCAAUGCUAUUGUAAUGGAGGGGAUAUGAAAUCCCACCAAACAAACAAGCCACAAGUAAACAAGCUAAACUCGCACAAUGCAUGACAUGGCCUUAAAAACCUAACAUCUCAAUCAAACUUCUAUCUUGUCAACUAAUCAUAUUGCAUUUGUUAGUUGUUGCAGCUUCCAUCGAAUCCAUCCAACCUGUGAGAAAUUUGCCGGAAGACGGGAAUUGAUGCUAAAGUACCUGUUGUUUUGCCAAACGAAGAAGCAUGGGAGAUGUUUUGCUCUGGAGUGGGUCACGUUGCAACGCUUUCAACCAUAAAGCCGUAUGCCAAGAUAUUGUUAGAGAAUGUGAUGGCUUGCCACUAGCAUUGAAAGUCAUAUGCGGUGCACUACAGAAAGAGGAAAAUGUGAAUGUAUAAAAGGAAUUUCUUAACAGAAUAAAGGUCACCAACUACAUCUGGCAUUGUAGACUUGAAUGAAAAAGUGUUCAAGGUACAAAAGGUAAGCUAUGACCAAUUAAAGAAUACUGAGGAAAAGAAAUGUCUUUCUGUUCUGUGGAUUGUAUCCAAAAGACACCAUGAUUGAAAAAUCUAGUUUGCUAGGAUAUUGGAGAGCAGAGAGAAUUUUUUCUGGUAAACUUAUUUUAGAAUAGGCACUUGAUCAAGAAGAAGUUAUAUUGCAAGCUCUUAUAGAUGCGUCUUUGUUCGAGAUUUGGUAUUGACAAUAACUUCCCUGUAAGGAGAGAAACCCACACAUUUAUUCCAGAGGAGGUGGAAUGGAAAAUGCAAUACGAAUAUUCUUUAGACUUGUGCAGCUUGCCACCAAAAAAUGUGAGCGCUCCUGCACUAUACGGCUUUUUGGCGUCGCCCUAUCUUUCUAGAGGCAGAUUUUUCUAAAAAAAGCGGUGGAUUACUCAGAUUGGGAAUAACUUGAUCGCCAGGAGGCUAGGCAUGUUAUUAAAGAAAGUUUCUGGAAUCACCUCUAAAUUAUUGUUUCCUUGAAGCAAACAAGGUCAACAGCUCCGGGCAAUCUCGUGAUUCUGGCAAGCUGCACAAGUCAUGAUUCGUAAAGGAUAUUCGUGUUGCAUUUUUACAUUCCACCUCCUUUGGAAUCAUCUCUGAAGAAAUUCCAGCUCCACAUGUGUGGGUUCCUCUCUUUGCGGAGAAGUUAUUGCCAAUAACAAGUCUCGAACAAAAUCGUGCAUCUUCACAGAGUGAUCAUCUUCCAAUGCAUUUUUCCAACAAAGACGCAUCUAUAAGAGCUUGCAAUCUAGUUUCUCCCUUAUCAAGUGCCUUUCCAAAGUAAGUUUACCAUAAAAAAUCCUCUCUGCACUCCAAUAUCCUAUCAAACUAGAUUUUUCAAUCAUGGUGUCUUCUGGAUACAAUCCACAGAACAGAAGACAUUUCUUUUCCUCAGUAUUCUUUAAUUGGCCAUAGCUUACCUUUAGUACCUUGAACACUUUUUCAUUCAAGCCUACAUUGACAAAUGUAGCAGGUGACCUUUAUUCUCUUGAGAAAUUCUUCCAUACAUUCACAUUUUGCUCUUUCCGUAGUGCACGGCAUACAACUUUCAACGCUAGUGGCAAGCCAUCACAUUCUCUAACAAUAUCUUAGACAUACGGCUUGAUGGUUGCAACGUGACCCACUCCAGAGGAAGACAUCUCCCAUGCUUCUUCGUUUGGCAAAACUUCAACGGGUACUUCAGCAUCAGUUCCCAUUUUCCGUCAAACUUCUAUUUUUCUAGUUGCCAAAACAACUUCGCAACCGUUUUGUUGAUUGGCAUUGGGGAAUCCUACAACACUUAAAUCCACCUCGUCCCAAACAUCAUCUAAAAGCAAAAGAGCCAAAUCGGGAAAAGUGGUUCACCAACUACAUAAGCCAAUUGUUCAUCUGGAAAAAAUUAUUGGCUUCCAAUGCAGAGCAUGGGCUUCCAACUAUGAGAAAAGAUGCACCACCGAGGCCAAGUGGUUCAUAUGUAUCUCACAUAACAUAUUUGUACUACAGUAUCAGCUUUUUGUAGAGGUAUAUGCCCCUCUAGCUUAAUAGUACUGAUCGAGAGCUAUCAAACAAAAUUCAUUUUGUAAUAUUAAUGAAUGUAUGUUCUUUCGGAAUAAAAUGAAAGAAUAGUAAUCUAGCCAAGCUUAGGGACAUGUGUGGUGACCUGAGCAUUAAGAAAUAAGAUGAGUCCAGAGAUAGGGUUCUUGGUAGGGAUAGUGGUGGUGAAGGAGGUUAUCAGGCUUGGCUGCUCUACUCGGAAGUAGACAACACUAGUUCCUAUCAAGGGCAAAGAGUAUCAGUCUGAUUGAAUUGUUCUGAUUUCCUUCUUAUAACCUCUCGUUUUAGACACUUGGACGAUUUCUAUUCGAACACAUGUAUUGCAUCUGCAUUUUUGUUGUGUGUAUAUCAGGUGUAACUUAACAAGGCUCAUUUCGUAAGUUCUUGGGAUUGUUUGUGUUA